UACAGAGGGUGCGAGCGUUAAUCGGAAUUACUGGGCGUAAAGCGUGCGUAGACGGUUAUUUAAGUCAGGUGUGAAAGCCCCGGGCUCAACCUGGGAAUUGCAUUUGAGACUGAAUAGCUAGGGUGCGGAAGAGGGAAGCGGAAUUUCCGGUGUAGCGGUGAAAUGCGUAGAUAUCGGAAGGAACACCAGUGGCGAAAGCGGCUUCCUGGUCCAGCACCGACGUUCAGGCACGAAAGCGUGGGGAGCAAA
rnacentral:rRNA from 1 species